GUCCUCGGUGGCUCAGUCGGAUAGAGCGUCUGCCCUGUAAGCGGGAGGUCACGGGUUCGAGUCACGGCUGGGACA